UGUAUAAUGGGUCAGCGACUUAUAUUCUGUAGCAAGGUUAACCGAAUAGGGGAGCCGAAGGGAAACCGAGUCUUAACUGGGCGUUAAGUUGCAGGGUAUAGACCCGAAACCCGGUGAUCUAGCCAUGGGCAGGUUGAAGGUUGGGUAACACUAACUGGAGGACCGAACCGACUAAUGUUGAAAAAUUAGCGGAUGACUUGUGGCUGGGGGUGAAAGGCCAAUCAAACCGGGAGAUAGCUGGUUCUCCCCGAAAGCUAUUUAGGUAGCGCCUCGUGAAUUCAUCUCCGGGGGUAGAGCACUGUUUCGGCAAGGGGGUCAUCCCGACUUACCAACCCGAUGCAAACUGCGAAUACCGGAGAAUGUUAUCACGGGAGACACACGGCGGGUGCUAACGUCCGUCGUGAAGAGGGAAACAACCCAGACCGCCAGCUAAGGUCCCAAAGUCAUGGUUAAGUGGGAAACGAUGUGGGAAGGCCCAGACAGCCAGGAUGUUGGCUUAGAAGCAGCCAUCAUUUAAAGAAAGCGUAAUAGCUCACUGGUCGAGUCGGCCUGCGCGGAAGAUGUAACGGGGCUAAACCAUGCACCGAAGCUGCGGCAGCGACGCUUAUGCGUUGUUGGGUAGGGGAGCGUUCUGUAAGCCUGCGAAGGUGUGCUGUGAGGCAUGCUGGAGGUAUCAGAAGUGCGAAUGCUGACAUAAGUAACGAUAAAGCGGGUGAAA
rnacentral:rRNA from 1 species